rnacentral:rRNA from 1 species
GACGAACGCUGGCGGCGUGCUUAACACAUGCAAGUCGAGCGGUAAGGCCCUUUCGGGGGUACACGAGCGGCGAACGGGUGAGUAACACGUGGGUGACCUGCCCUCAGCUCUGGGAUAAGCCUGGGAAACCGGGUCUAAUACCGGAUAUGACUCCAUGACGCAUGUUGUGGGGUGGAAAGCCUUGUGCGGCUGAGGAUGGGCCCGCGGCCUAUCAGCUUGUUGGUGGGGUGAUGGCCUACCAAGGCGACGACGGGCAGCCGGCCUGAGAGGGCGACCGGCCACACUGGGACUGAGACACGGCCCAGACUCCUACGGGAGGCAGCAGUGGGGAAUCUUGCGCAAUGGGCGAAAGCCUGACGCAGCGACGCCGCGUGAGGGAUGAC